rnacentral:rRNA from 1 species
CACGUAGGCGGACUCUUAAGUCAGGGGUGAAAUCCUGGAGCUCAACUCCAGAACUGCCUUUGAUACUGGGAGCCUUGAGUUCGGGAGAGGUGAGUGGAACUGCGAGUGUAGAGGUGAAAUUCGUAGAUAUUCGCAAGAACACCAGUGGCGAAGGCGGCUCACUGGCCCGAUACUGACGCUGAGGUGCGAAAGCGUGGGAGCAAACA